rnacentral:rRNA from 1 species
AAUAGAUACCCCGGUAGUCCACGCCCUAAACGAUGUCUACUAGUUGUUGGGUCUUAAUUGACUUAGUAACGCAGCUAACGCGUGAAGUAGACCGCCUGGGGAGUACGGUCGCAAGAUUAAAACUCAAAGGAAUUGACGGGGACCCGCACAAGCGGUGGGUGAUGUGGAUUAAUUCGAUGCAACGCGAAAAACCUUACCUACCCUUGACAUGGAAGGAAUCCUGGAGAGAUCUGGGAGUGCCCGAAAGGGAACCUUUACACAGGUGCUGCAUGGCUGUCGUCAGCUCGUGUCGUGAGAUGUUGGGUUAAGUCCCGCAACGAGCGCAACCCUUGUCAUUAGUUGCUACGAAAGGGCACUCUAAUGAGACUGCCGGUGACAAACCGGAGGAAGGUGGGGAUGACGUCAAGUCCUCAUGGCCCUUAUGGGUAGGGCUUCACACGUCAUACAAUGGUACAUACAGAGGGCCGCCAACCCGCGAGGGGAGGCAAAUCCCGAGAAAGUGUAUCGUAGUCCGGAUUGUAGUCCGCAACUCGACUACAUGAAGUUGG